AUGCAGACAACAUACUUCCUUGCUAUCCCAUAUUUUAUAUAAUGCUAUGGAAUGUAAAGAAGUAUGUAUUUUGUGU
rnacentral:pre_miRNA from 1 species